UGGGGAAUAUUGGACAAUGGGGGCAACCCUGAUCCAGCCAUGCCGCGUGCGUGAAGAGGGCCUUAGGGUUGUAAAGCGCUUUCAGCGGGGACGAUGAUGACGGUACCCGCAGAAGAAGCCCCGGCUAACUCCGUGCCAGCAGCCGCGGUAAAACGGAGGGGGCAAGCGAUGUGCGGAAUUACUGGGCGUAAAGCGCGCGUAGGCGGCAUAGUAAGUCGGAUGUGAAAGCCCCGGGCUUAACCUGGGAAUUGCAUUCGAUACUGCUGAGCUAGAGUAUGGUAGAGGGAAGUGGAAUUUCCGGUGUAGCGGUGAAAUGCGUAGAUAUCGGAAGGAACACCAGUGGCGAAGGCGACUUCCUGGGCCAAUACUGACGCUGAGGUGCGAAAGCGUGGGGAGCAAACAGGAUUAGAUACCCGCGUAGUCC
rnacentral:rRNA from 1 species